rnacentral:rRNA from 1 species
UGUCUCAAAGAUUAAGCCAUGCAUGUCUAAGUAUAAGCAACUAUACUGUGAAACUGCGAAUGGCUCAUUAAAUCAGUUAUCGUUUAUUUGAUAGUACCUUACUACUUGGAUAACCGUGGUAAUUCUAGAGCUAAUACAUGCUAAAAACCUCGACUUCGGAAGGGGUGUAUUUAUUAGAUAAAAAACCAAUGCCCUUCGGGGCUCCCUGGUGAUUCAUAAUAACUUAACGAAUCGCAUGGCCUUGUGCCGGCGAUGGUUCAUUCAAAUUUCUGCCCUAUCAACUUUCGAUGGUAGGAUAGUGGCCUACCAUGGUUUCAACGGGUAACGGGGAAUUAGGGUUCUAUUCCGGAGAGGGAGCCUGAGAAACGGCUACCACAUCCAAGGAAGGCAGCAGGCGCGCAAAUUACCCAAUCCCGACACGGGGAGGUAGUGACAAUAAAUACUGAUACAGGGCUCUUUUGGGUCUUGUAAUUGGAAUGAGUACAAUUUAAAUCCCUUAACGAGGAACAAUUGGAGGGCAAGUCUGGUGCCAGCAGCCGCGGUAAUUCCAGCUCCAAUAGCGUAUAUUAAAGUUGUUGCAGUUAAAAAGCUCGUAGUUGAACCUUGGGCCUGGCUGGCCGGUCCGCCUCACCGCGUGCACUGGUCCGGCCGGGCCUUUCCUUCUGGGGAGCCGCAUGCCCUUCAUUGGGUGUGUCGGGGAACCAGGACUUUUACUUUGAAAAAAUUAGAGUGUUCAAAGCAGGCCUAUGCUCGAAUACAUUAGCAUGGAAUAAUAGAAUAGGACGUGUGGUUCUAUUUUGUUGGUUUCUAGGACCGCCGUAAUGAUUAAUAGGGAUAGUCGGGGGCAUCAGUAUUCAAUUGUCAGAGGUGAAAUUCUUGGAUUUAUUGAAGACUAACUACUGCGAAAGCAUUUGCCAAGGAUGUUUUCAUUAAUCAGUGAACGAAAGUUAGGGGAUCGAAGACGAUCAGAUACCGUCGUAGUCUUAACCAUAAACUAUGCCGACUAGGGAUCGGGCGAUGUUAUCUUUUUGACUCGCUCGGCACCUCACGAGAAAUCAAAGUC